UACGGAGGGUGCAAGCGUUAAUCGGAAUUACUGGGCGUAAAGCGUGCGCAGACGGUUAUCUAAGUCGAGUGUGAAAGCCCCGGGCUCAACCUGGGAAUUGCAUUCGAAACUGAAUAGCUAGGGUGCGGAAGAGGGAAGUGGAAUUUCCGGUGUAGCGGUGAAAUGCGUAGAUAUCGGAAGGAACAUCAGUGGCGAAAGCGACUUCCUGGUCCAGCACCGACGUUCAGGCACGAAAGCGUGGGGAGCAAACAGG
rnacentral:rRNA from 1 species